UACGUGAAACCGUUCAGGGGUAAACCCGAGAAACCCGAAAGUUCGAACGGGGAGAUUCAUCGGGUAUCGCUCGCGGAGUGCGUGUUUGGUGUGCGACGGGCGACGUUUGCGCGUCGUCCGCGCCGCCGUGCUCGUCUGCUCUCGGCGAUCCCGUGCACUUCUCCACCUAGUAGGACGUCGCGACCCGUUCGGGGCCGGCCUACGGCCGACGUUUUCGUCCGCGCGACCUCCGUGUCGUGCGGGUUCGUCGUGCCCGGUCGGAACCAGACGGUAGUCAGUGGCGCGCGGCCGCGAUGGAUCGCGUCCGGCCCUCUGCAAGCACCGGCGGUAGUCUGGUGAUCGGACCUCGUGCCGAUCCCGGGCCCGUCGUGUUGUUGGCGGAGGUGUCCUCGGACAGACCGUCACACGCCCGUCCGCGACGCUAUUGCUUUGGGUACUCUCGGGGCCCGUCUUGAAACACGGACCAAGGAGUCUAGCAUGUACGCGAGUCAUUGGGACUUACGAAACCCAAAGGCGAAAUGAAAGUGAAGGAGGUGCCUCGCGCUCUCCGAGGGCCGAUGGGUGUCGUCUCGGCGACGCCCCGCAAGCCCGCGGCGCCCCGUACUCAUUGCGAGUUGGGGCGCACCCAGAGCGUACAUGCUGGGACCCGAAAGAUGGUGAACUAUGCCUGGUCAGGACGAUAGUCAGGGGAAACCCUGAUGGAGGUCCGUAGCGAUUCUGACGUGCAAAUCGAUCGUAAGAACUG
rnacentral:rRNA from 1 species